rnacentral:lncRNA from 1 species
UUGAGACAGGGUAUCCCUGUCUCAAAAUUCUGAGACUUAGGGCUUUAGGCUUAUUGCUAAGGCUGGCUUUGAACUUGGAUCUUUCUGCCUCAUCCUCUGGAGUUGCUGGGAUGCUUUACCAUGUACAGAAUGUUUUGUUAUUCUUAAAANUGUUCUGUGGAUGCUAUGCAGGGAUGGGAAAGGAGUUUUCUGUAACCAUAGAGUGCUCUGCCCUUCCCUGCUGUGUUUAGACCCCUUCCUUAGGGAGUCAGAAUAUUGGGAAUAAUUUUCCUUCUUGUUGAAGGACCACAAAGAGCUAGGGUAGAAAAAUGAAGUACAUCCCAUCUCAUGAUUUAUAAGGUCAGAUCUUUAUAAAUAAAGACUAGCUCUGUCAGAUGCAGUGGCACAGGCCUGUUAUCCCAGUGACUAGAGAGGUGGUAGCUUAGCAAGAUCUUGUCUCAAAGUGAAAAAUAAAAAGGACCAAAGAUGUAUGUAAUUCAGUGGUAAAGCAACUCCAGGUUUAAUCCCUGGUACCACAAAAAACAAACAAACAAAAACAACUUAUUUUUCUCACAUCAAGAUAAACAGGAAAAAGCCUUUGCCCAUCUUCUGGAAAAUAAGAUCCUACUUCUGACUUCUUCCAGUCACUCUCUCAUGUAUCAAAAGGAGAACUCUAUUCCCCUUUACUCAGAGCCCAGGAGGCAUCUGCACCAGACAAAGCAAAUAAUGGAGAUGGAUAAAUAAGUGUUCAUGGGCUGGUGUGGAGAAAAAAAGAAGAUAAAAGCUGGAAGAGAAACUGAGGUGUCAGUGGCUGCACAUAGAGCUAGGCCCAGCUUUUCCUCCUUUCCCUCUCACCCCAUAAUUGAGGUCUUCCCUGCCAUCAGUCUUUGUACAUCCUGGGGAUAAAGGAGUUGGGGGCAGUGGGUAGGAAUACAAAGUGUAAAGAACAAAAUUGCCUCUGUUUUCUCAUUGGUGCUUUCAGCCCCAGAAAAGUCUUAUCCAGCACAAAAGCUCCAAGUCCAUUAACCCUCCAGGAGGGUUUGGCUUAGCAGACGGUGCUUGCUUUGUCUCUAACCUUCAGUAAAGUGAAAUAUUCCAGAGCUGCUAUCUCAUCAGUGACCUUUCAGAAAAAGAGAAAACAGCCGGGUGUGGUGGUGCACACCUGUAAUCCCAGCAUCUUGGGAAGCUGAGGCAGGAUGAUUCCAAGUUGAAAGCCAGCCUCAGAAAUUUUUCCAGGCCCCAAGCAACUUAGUGAGACCCUGUCUCAAAACAUAAAAAGGGGUGGGGAUAUGGCUCAGUGAUUAAGCACUGGGUUCAAUACCUGGUACUGGGAGAAAAAAUCCAGAAUUCUGUUUAUUUAACUGAUGGUAGAUUGGGGAAGUUUUGCUGUAGGUUUAAUAUUUGGGGCUGCCUUUCCUGCAUAGGAACUGGUGUGGCUGUCUGUGCUGACCUAUCUCCCCAAAUCCCUGAUUCUGUCUCCUUUCUCUGUAUUUUCUAAAUUUUUUAAAUGGCUAUGAUUUUUACUUUGUUUUAAAAUAUUGAAGUUACCUUUUUUGGUUCUCCUCAUAUGAACCUACCAUUGAGAGAGCGCUUCUGGUUUGGACAGGUUUGAGGACAGGAAGUAAUUGAGAGCCUGCAGUUAUUUUUGUAGUGGUUAAUGGCACUGAGGAAUUUCUUUUUGGUGCUUUUGAUUUAUACUCCUACUUUCCCCACUAGUUGUUAGUUCAUUUCUAACAGUGGGUAGUAAUUGGAGAAAGGAUAGAAUAGGAACUAUUUCUCCCAUGAAUUGGUGAAGAUUGGUCAGAGUGGGCAGCAGGUAGAGGAGCCAGUCUUGGACUGCGCUCUUUAGUGUUUUCUGAAUCCUGUCUUCCUGGAAGCCACAUCUUAUACUCUCUGUACUUUCAUCUCACCCCCACUCAUUACAGAUGCUCAUAACAUUCUUAAAAUAUUUUAGUACUUUGUGCUUUUCUGUUUUCAGUCAAAUAGAACUUACGAGUUUCUUCCUCAGAUGGUGUAAUCCUUUACUAGGCUCUAGGCCUGCCUAUCCCAUUUCAUGUCAGUGUUACUAUUGCUCUUUUCAGGCUCUGAGUAGAUAUCCUGACCCUAGACUAUUUGGACUCUUUGGAGGAGGGUGCAGGUAGAGGUUAGGAAGGUGUGGGAAUGAUGAUGGAUAGGUUUGUUAUUUUUAGUGUUUUCAACCAAAGCAGAGGUUAAAGCCUGGUGGCUCUGAAGAGGUCAUAGCCCUUGUUAGUAACAGAGGUAUUAUUUGCACUAAGGAUGAGGACAAGACCUGCUGCACAGGCCAUUCCUAGUUGAGCCACUUCAGCCCCAUUCCAUUCCUCUUCCUUUUCUAAUUUGCUUAACAAUGAGCUCAUUCAUCCCCCCUAAUGCCUCCAGUGUCACCAGGCUCUCCUUGCUACUCCAAUAUGUCAACCCACUGGGGCUGCAAUCUACCUAUGGGAUUUUACUUUGCCAUAAAGAUGCUGUGAGUGAUCUCAGUGGAAUGUUGCAGGGAUCCCUGACAUUGACAAUUAUUGGUCUUCUGGAAAAGGAACUAUUGCUGCUUAGGCACAUGCCCCACCUUCUGGGAAGUAGCAGCAUUGCACACAUUGAGGGGCUACUUUGCCUUCUUAGCCAAAAAGUUGGGGGUAUGAUCAGGUCCCAACCUGCCCCUAUCCUCUGCUAGACGUGGAUCUGUGGACUUCAAAGAGGGUGGGGGUUAUAAAAGCCAGCCUAUAGAUCCUAGAUCUUGUGCCUUGUUAUACCAGUUCUUCCUGAUUUCCUUUUAAACCAACCACUCCAUUUCCAUGUGACCCAUUUUUUAGGGCUUCCCAAGCAUUAGCAGAUUCCUGAAGUUUGCUCAGCUUUUACCCUUUCCUUCCAUUGGACAGUCUUCCUAUGUGGCUAAAACCAGCCUAUAGUGCUGUCUCCCCUGAUCUUUGCUGAACCUCCCUAUAGGUGUUCCCCAUGUUUGAAACGAGACAACUAGGUGCUCUCAACACUCCAGUUACCACUGCUUUCUCCCUGGCCUGUCCACUUGUUUUGAAUAAGCAUUCAUUAUCCAAGUAGAUCCCCAAACUUCCUUGUCCUUGUUACUCAUCUACCUCAUAAUCUCUCAAUUAAACAAGGGCACAAGCACCUGACUUACAUCUUUUCCUGUUGUUCUCUUCAUGAGGGUUAGAAAACUGGGGACUAGAAAGGACUCAUGAACAAAUCCAGUCUUUGGUUUUUCUACUUCUGGAAUGUCUUCUCUGGGGGUUUUAGCUCACUAACUUUUUAGGUAGGUCUCAAUGUGGCACCACCUAAGGUAACAACAGAUUGUUGGGAGUUACCCCAGGACCACCAUUAGAACAGAGCUUAGAACUAUAAAAUUAAUCAUUGGAUGCCUCAUAGCAGAGAAGGUAACCAAACACCAAAGAGUUUUAUAGGACUGGAAAUAGAUGUUCCUUUUCCACCUUAACAGUUAUCUUUCUUAGAGGGUUCAGGAGAAAAAAAUGCCCAAACUAAAGGGUUACCUAGUUAAGACUUUUACAGCCCGAGUAAAUAAAAGUUCCUACCCCAUCACUGGUGUCCCAAUUUCCCCAACACAUACCCUUUUUGGAUGGAUGAAUACUUACUACACGCACUUAUCACCUUGAAAUAAGUUUAAUUUAUACUUAAAAACACAUUUUGUACUACAAUUUUUCCUUUAUCCAGAGACUUCUAGUUUUAUAUUCUUCCCAUGUUGUGCCAAUGCCACCCUUUUAGCUUAUUCUUUUCUGACCCCUGGUCUUCCCAUGUUGCUUCCUUACAGUUUGGUAGAGAUUCAUUUUGUCAACAUUUUUAAUAAAACACAAAAAGUCUGUUUUGGUCUUAUCCAUGGGUGGGAGGGUAUGCUGCUACAGGAAAUAAGUGGCAGCUUAGGAAGGUAAGGCAUGCAUCUUAAAGUGGGAACAGGGCAUGUGGAAACUCAUUUACCCCAGUGCCUCAGUUAAGACUUUGAGGCAGGUCUACUGAAGCAGAAGGUAUGAAACAGGAUUCCUGUUGCUUAGGGGUUAGUGAUAAACCUGCAUCUUAUAUACCAAACCAGUCAUGCCCAUCCUAAUACACAUUCUAUCCCCAAUAUAUGUGUGAGAACAUGAUGAAGUGCCCAGACUAAAGGGAAGAGA